CAGCAGCCGCGGUAAUACGAAGGGUGCAAGCGUUAAUCGGAAUUACUGGGCGUAAAGGGUGCGUAGGCGGUGAGUUAAGUCUGUUGUGAAAUCCCCGGGCUCAACCUGGGAAUGGCAAUGGAUACUGGCUCGCUAGAGUGUGAUAGAGGAUGGUGGAAUUCCCGGUGUAGCGGUGAAAUGCGUAGAGAUCGGGAGGAACAUCAGUGGCGAAGGCGGCCAUCUGGAUCAACACUGACGCUGAAGCACGAAAGCGUGGGGAGCAAACAGGAUUAGAUACCCGAGUAGUCCCUGUCUCUUAUAC
rnacentral:rRNA from 1 species